CUCAAGCCUUUAUUCACCAAAUUAAGUAUUUAAAUUUUUACAUAGGUCGCUACAUUGCAAAUUAGAAUACAAAAAAAAACCAUUAUUUUUACUACCACAUGUAGACAGUUAAUAGUUAAUAUUAUUUUUAUUUUGUAAUAUAUACCACAAAUAAUAUUAAGAAUUAUUAUUAGCAACACAGACAAAAUAUCUUUUCUGAAUAGAAAACUGAAAUUACCUACUCAAAAAGUAUAGUAAUUCAUAUUUCAGUGAAAUCAACUAACAUUUAUUUUGUAUACAUGCUUGAGCUUUUUAUUAUUAUUAUUUAAUAUCCACUUAAAACACAAAUUAUCAUUUCACAAAAUUCCCUUAGUACUUAAAUAUUUCAGGUAAAUAAUUAACAUUACAAAUCACAAUAAUAUUUAAAUAUGUAGAUAUGGCUUUCUAAGCUACUUCUUUUUUACAUUUCAUUA